GAGGAAUAUUGGUCAAUGGGCGAGAGCCUGAACCAGCCAAGUCGCGUGAAGGAUGACUGCCCUAUGGGUUGUAAACUUCUUUUGUACAGGGGUAAAAAACGGGACGUGUCCUGUCUUGCAAGUACUGUACGAAUAAGCAUCGGCUAACUCCGUGCCAGCAGCCGCGGUAAUACGGAGGAUGCGAGCGUUAUCCGGAUUUAUUGGGUUUAAAGGGUGCGUAGGCGGUUUUUUAAGUCAGCGGUGAAAGUUUGAGGCUCAACCUUAAAAUUGCCGUUGAAACUGGAAGACUUGAGUGUAAAUGAAGUGGGCGGAAUUUGUGGUGUAGCGGUGAAAUGCAUAGAUAUCACGAGGAACUCCAAUUGCGCAGGCAGCUCACUAAGCUACAACUGACGCUGAUGCACGAAAGCGUGGGUAUCCAAC
rnacentral:rRNA from 1 species